rnacentral:rRNA from 1 species
GACGAACGCUGGCGGCGUGCUUAACACAUGCAAGUCGAACGGGAGGAAAAGAGAAGCUUGCUUCUUUUUGAAUCUAGUGGCAAACGGGUGAGUAACACGUAAACAACCUGCCUUCAGGAUGGGGACAACAGACGGAAACGACUGCUAAUACCGAAUGUGUUCCGGAGACCGCAUGAUUUCCGGAAGAAAGGAUGGCCUCUAUUUAUAAGCUAUCGCCUGAAGAGGGGUUUGCGUCUGAUUAGGCAGUUGGUGAGGUAACGGCCCACCAAACCUACGAUCAGUAGCCGGUCUGAGAGGAUGAACGGCCACACUGGAACUGAGACACGGUCCAGACUCCUACGGGAGGCAGCAGUGGGGAAUCUUCCGCAAUGGACGAAAGUCUGACGGAGCAACGCCGCGUGAGUGAUGA